GAAGCUGCCAGUGGGUAGACACCUUCGCUCGGACCAAGAAUAUAGAUCGUUUUUCUCUCACAACCGAGAAGGAUUUUGCGUAUAACGACCUUAACGAACUGCUGCAGGAUCCUUUGUUCGGAUAAGAGACAAGAGAGUAACAUCUGGAUAAGAGGAGUAUUCUGUGUAGUGAUGGCAGAUGCGCUCGGAUUUCUCGCCUCCGCCAGCGACUAUGGGGGCUAUGGAGCGGCAGAUGGCUACGGGUACGAGAGCUCCAUCGACUGCAACUCGGCGCUCGGUCUCAUUGGUCUCCUUGGUCUGAUUGAGCUGCUGAGGGACAUCAUAGACGACAUCACAUCCACGCGCCGGAG